AAAAUUAGCACAUAGUUUGCAGCAAUGUAUUAUUAGCCUUUAAUUCCUCCGUAGAAAUGAAACAGAAAAAUUCAAAAUAGUUGUCUAAUAAUCGUUUCAAGACUAAGCAUGAUUCAUAAGAUGGAUUUUAUUCAUGUUGAUAAAUACGCUGAUCAGAUAUUUAGCUUCAUAUGCUGAACCAGAUACACAAGUUAAGGACAUAAAAGCAUGUCUAGAUUACAUACGAUACAAUACACCUGAGAUGAGAAGACUAAAACGCCCUUCUGUAAAAGGGUUGUUAUUUACUCAAUUUUGUUCUCUUUUCUUAAAGGCUUAAAGCUGGUGAUCUGUACCCGUAGCAUAGCGCUCCUCCUCUUUAUAAUAAGUGUUGAAACCAACAAUAUCCUUAAUUUCUUCAAAAGAUGGCAUGCU
rnacentral:lncRNA from 1 species